GAGUAACGAAAACACGGUGAUAAGCAACGGUGUUGCUUGAUUAUCGGAAACUACAUCGGAGUGUUUGUUUUUAUGUAAAUGUGUCUCUCGUGUGAUUUGAGUCUCCACACGUGGUGAACACCUCGGUCCCGUCUCUGCUCCGUCAAUGAAAGAGUAAGUGAGCUCGGCUUGUAAUUACAGUAAUGAAUGAUUCUCCUCUACCUUUUCCGGCCGUGUUACAUGUCUUUCUGAUCCCUCCUCUCCCUUGUUCUCCUCUGUCUCCUCCUCUAAAGCCCCCUCACCUUCCUCUCCUCCCUCCUCCCCCAUUCUGCCUGGGAUCUUUUUCUGUUUUUGGUAAGGAGAUCCCCUGUUUAUGUGGAGGUGGCUGUCCCCGGGUGUUCUUUUUUUUUUUUUUUUUUUCUAAACCAUAUUUACUUUGAUCCUCCUACUUCUGUGUGUGCGUGCAUGUUCAUGUUCAUGUGGAUCUACCAGGAGCAUCAGAGCAGAAGAAGAAACGCUAUACCGUCCUAACGUACACACAAACAUGUGGCUUUCUGUUAUAUGUGCAUGUACAUGUUUAUGUCUCGUACUGUUACGUGAGUACCAGAGCGGCUCCGGUGGAACGCCGCAGUCUCCGAUGGCUUUUUAAUUGAAAUGUCACUCGGAAAAAUCGACCUCCAUCUGCUCCUACUCUACUCCGUACUGUACAACAUCGUGAAACUCCAACAGUUUCGACCUGGACAAAACACUAGGAGCCUGGGGACCGUGAACGCUGCCAACGUCGACGUUUAGUGAACAUCAGCAACUUCGUGACGUCAGUGGACGCAGCCGACGGUCUCAAUGUCUUUGGAUCAGAGAGGAAAAGGACUAAAGAUCCGGACCGCCGCUCGACCUUUUGAAAACCCGUGUCUGUGAUUUUGGGCUGGACAACAUGUUAACUUCAGUUAGAGGAGUGGGAGACGGGCCCUGCUGGGGGGUUGAAGGUGUGGACGAAGCGUUCUGUUGAAUACAUUUACGUCCAUCCAUCCAGUUUCAUCCGCUUAGCCGUUACCGGGUCGCGGGGGCAGCAGUCUCUACCCAACUCACACUGCACUGUACCAACCCCCCUGAACCUUCCUGCGGGUGGUGAGUCCACUGGAAGGUACCAACCGCCCUCACUGGGAUUCGAACUUCACCCAGGAGGUGAGGGUUCAACACCAGUGACCACUGAGACAUUGACUCUGGGCCAAAGCACCACAAAUAAAUUUACUGUUUAAUAUUUUUUAUUAGUGGGAAAAGUUUGUAAUUUUAUUGUAUGUUUUAAGUGAGAAUCUGCUUUUAGGAAUCACAGUGUUUUAUUUCAUCACAGGGGGAAAUGAGGGCUGUAAAAAUGUCUGAUCAGAUAAAGCACAGCAUAUCUGUGCUGUUGUCACAGGUGCUCAUGCUCAAAAGUUGGUUUUUUUUUUGUGGUAUUUUGUGAAAGACAUUAAGAGUAGGUAGACGUCUGUGUCUCACACCUUUUUUUCUUUUAUUUGUGACUAAUCCAAAUGAUACAAAACAAAACUGUAAAAUAUAAAACUAUAAAAGUGAAUGUACCCUCACAGAGUUGGUGAAUGUGAGUCAUUACCGCGUCUCUGUGACGUCGGUUUGUACGACUUGUCGAGAGUUUCUUAUCAAUGCGUGUUAUUAUGCCUCACGUUGAAGCUAACACCGGCCCACAUCAACACCACAGUUUCAUCACACUAAUCUGUAACACAGAUCACCAGAGAAUUCGCCUCUGCACAUUUUUCUAGUUCAACAGAAAAUACACACCAUCUAUCAGGGAUGGAAUAAAUUACAGACAUUCACACAAAUAAAAC